rnacentral:lncRNA from 1 species
AUGGACUCAGUGACUUUUGAGGAUGUGGCUGUAACCUUCACCCCUCAGGAGUGGGCGUUGCUGGAUUUUUCCCAGAAGAAACUCUUAUAGAGAUGUGACGCAGGAAACCUUCAGGAAUUUGGCUUCUACAGAAAACAAAUGGGAAGACCAGAAUGUUGACGAUCAAGUCAGAAAAUAUGGGAGAAAUGUAAGUCAUAUGGUAGAGAGACUGUGUGAAGGUAAACAAAAUAGUCAAGGUGGAGAAACCUUCAGCCAGAAUUCAAAUCUUAAUCUGAACAAGAAAGUUUCUACUAAAGUAAAACCAUGUGUAUGCAGAAUGUGUGGAAAAGUCUUCAUAUGUCAUGCAUCUCUUCACAGGUAUAUUAUAUCUCACUCUGGACACAAACUAUUUGAGUGUGAGGACUGUGAAAUGAAGCCAUAUAAAUGUAAACAAUGUGGGAAAGCCUUUAAUUCUCUCACAGGUGUUUGAAGACACAUGGUAAUGCACAGUGAUAAUGGAUUUUAUAAAUGUACAGUAUGUGGGGAAAACUUUAUUUUCCCCAGUUUAUUUCAAAUGCACCAGAAAACUCACACUGGAGAAAACAACCCUAUAAAUGUAAACAUUGUGGUAAAGACUUCAAUUAUUCCAGAAACUGUCACAAACAUGAAAUAACUCAUAGUGGAGAGAAACCCUAUGCAUGCAAUAAAAGUGAUAAAUUAUUAGCUUCUUCCUACGCCCUUCGAGAACAUGAAAUGAUUCAUACUGGAGAGAAACCCUAUAGAUGUAGAGAAUGUGGUAAAGCCUUUACAGCUUCCAGUUUCCUUCAUAAGCAUACAAGGGCUCACAGUGGAGAAAAGCCUUAGGAAUGUAAAAAAUGCGGUAAAUCAUUCACAUUUUCCAGUUCCCUUUGACGACAUGAAAGAACUCAAACUGAAGAGAAACCCUUUGGAUGGAAGUAAAGUGGUAAAGCCUUCACUUUUCCCAGAUCCCUUCAACAGCAUGAAAGAAGUCAUACUGGAAAAAAACCAUGUGAAUGUAAGAAAUGUGGUAAAGACUUCAGAUGUUCUAGUUCUAUUAGAACAAAUGAAAAAACACAUAGUGGGAUUGUGA